rnacentral:sRNA from 1 species
ACUUCCAACCUCGUGGGUUUCCGGUGCCACAAGGGAGUCUUCUUCCCAGCGUUCUUCCCAGUGGCAUGUACUGGCAUUGAAAACAUUGACGAAGCUAUUACAUUGCUUGAACAAAAUAAUUGGGACUUAGUGGCAGCUAUCAAUGGUGUAAUACCACAGGAAAAUGGCAUUCUACAAAGUGAAUAUGGAGGUGAGACCAUACCAGGACCUGCAUUUAAUCCAGCAAGUCAUCCAGCUUCAGCUCCUACUUCCUCUUCUUCUUCAGCGUUUCGACCUGUAAUGCCAUCCAGGCAGAUUGUAGAAAGGCAACCUCGGAUGCUGGACUUCAGGGUUGAAUACAGAGACAGAAAUGUUGAUGUGGUACUUGAAGACAGCUGUACUGUUGGAGAGAUUAAACAGAUUCUAGAAAAUGAACUUCAGAUACCUGUGUCCAAAAUGCUGUUAAAAGGCUGGAAGACGGGAGAUGUGGAAGACAGUACGGUCCUAAAAUCGCUACACUUGCCAAAAAACAACAGUCUUUAUGUCCUUACACCAGAUUUGCCACCACCUUCAUCAUCUAGUCAUGCUGGUGCCCUGCAGGAGUCAUUAAAUCAAAACUUCAUGCUGAUCAUCACCCACCGAGAAGUCCAGCGGGAGUACAACCUGAACUUCUCAGGAAGCAGUACUAUUCAAGAGGU